UCCCCUUAUAUGCAGAACAGGUGUAACACUGACAGUGGCAGUGUUACGUUCCCUAUAUUGGACAAGCAGUAUGCUCAACCCUGACCUGGAGGGACCACUUCUCAGUGUGAGGGA
rnacentral:sRNA from 1 species